rnacentral:rRNA from 1 species
GACGAACGCUGGCGGCGUGCUUAACACAUGCAAGUCGAACGGAGUGGCGAACAGGUGAGUAACAAGUGGGUGAACUGCCCUGCACUUCGGGAAAAGCAUGGGAAACUGGGUCAAAUACCGGAUAGUGUGGGAUGGUCCCGAGGCCUAUCAGCUUGUUGGGGGGGUAAUGGCCUACCAAGGCGUCGACGGGUAGCCGGCCUGAGAGGUUGGACGGCCACAAUGGGAAUGAGACACGGCCCAGACUCCGACGGGAGGCAGCAGUGGGGAAUAUUGCACACUGGGCGGAAGCCUGAUGAAGCGACGCCGCGUGGGGGAUGACGGCCUUCGAGUUGUAAACUCCUUUCACCAUCGACGCGGUAGAUGGAGAAGAAGCACCGGCGAACUACGGGCCAGCAGCCGCGGUAAUUC